rnacentral:rRNA from 1 species
CAGUCGCCACGGUAACACGUAGGGUGCGAGCGUUAAUCGGAAUUACUGGGCGUAAAGCGUGCGCAGGCGGUUUUGUAAGACAGGCGUGAAAUCCCCGGGCUCAACCUGGGAAUGGCGCUUGUGACUGCAAAGCUAGAGUGCGGCAGAGGGGGAUGGAAUUCCGCGUGUAGCAGUGAAAUGCGUAGAUAUGCGGAGGAACACCGAUGGCGAAGGCAAUCCCCUGGGCCUGCACUGACGCUCAUGCACGAAAGCGUGGGGAGCAAACAGGAUUAGAUACCCCGGUAGUCCCUGUCUCUUAUAC